AGCUACUGAAGAAAUCAUUGAUCAAGGUUUACCCGUUUCUCAGCCUGAGCACCGUAAAUUAGUUCGAGUGCAAGUAAAAAGCAUUUGUGGAAAUAAUUUAGCACUAAGAAGUGUAGAUUUCUAUGGUUGGUCAUAAUAACUAUCUAAGGGCCAAAUGCAGUAAGUUAGAAAGCUUCCUUUACCUCCGAGGGAGAGUCCAAGAAUAAGGCAGGCAGCUGUCAGUUUAAUGAAGUUUUGCUAACAACAAUUUGGAAGAAAACAUUUAUUCUCAACUAAUGACAAGCAAUUGGUAAUUCAUUCAAAGGUAUCCACCACCCACAGAUGGAGGGGUUCGACCUCGUGCCUGUAGGCGGUGGCAGUCCCAUACACCUGCCCGUGGGGGAGACACUGCCGUGAAGGGGUCCAUUCCUCGGCGUCAGCGACAAGAGUCUCCAGACACCACGGCCUUCUUGAGAACCUGAAUGGGCAGCUGCACAUCAAACCUUCCCAGAUGCAUGUGAACCCCUGCUUUUGUCAAUCCUCACUGGAUGACCACCCACAACCCCUGGACAGGAACCAGUGGUAUAAACUUGGACAGGGAGACGUCAUCUCCCUUCUUCUUGGGAAAUGCAUCUACAAGGUGGUGACCAUGGGUGGAGAAGAUGGAACACCCAGAAACAGCCAAGCUUUUCAAGAUGAAGACGAGGCUGUUAUUAAGUCUCUUACUGCCUCUCCUGAACCAAGCGACGAACCCGCUUACCCCACUCGACAGGGCAAGGGGUGGACACCAAGCUCCCAUGUACAAGAAUCUAGACUGGAAGGUAGUGUGGACCAGAAGGAGCCAGAUGAACAGUUACCUCAAACCAGAAGCUGGGGGAGCUGAAGCAGAAAAUGACAAGAACGAGCUGAAACUCGAACCAAAGAAAAGAGUGUUACCUGCUUGGAUGACGGUACCCAUUGCAGCUCCCAAGAACCCCACCACCACCACCACCACCAAAGGAGCUGGAAAUUGAGGCAGAGGAACCGCAACCCCAUCCAUAAGCACCAACCAGGGCACGCCCAAACCGUCCAGGGACGCAGCGCCCUUGUCAAGGGAGGAGGAAUCUGAACACAGCGAGCCGGAGCCAACGCCCAGGAAGAGGAUGAGGAGGAAGAGUGAUGAGGACGAUGUGGUCCAGUCUAAAACAGCAUUUAAAGCCAGACAGGAGGUGAAGCCUAGUGAAGUAGAGAGCGAGGAGUCGGACCACUCUGACAUGGAGGAGGAGAAUGAUGAAGAGGAGAAGCUUCCGCAGUGAAAGGCAGCAGCACUUCUACGAGCAGAGCGGAGGUCAGCGAGUCCGAGGACAGAGGGAGACAGCCUCAGAAAGGUCAGAAGGUCGACAAGGGGCCUCGGGUCAAGUGAAGUUUCAGGCCCCGCCCAGUCCAAAGCUUGGCUCAGGACGACCUGCCCCUUUGGAAAGGACUGUUACAGGAAAAAACCCAGUCCACUUCCAAGAAUGCAGUCACCCCGGCGACAGCGACUACGAGGACGAUUCCGCGAAAGACGAAAAGGCAGAGGAGGACGCGGACCAACCUGAGUGUCCGUAUGGCACAGACUGCUACAGGAAAAACCCUCUUCACUGGAAGGAAUACAAACACACACACCAAGUGGUAUGUUAAUUUAUACCUGAGAGAGAAAGACAUGCUAACCUCUCACCGCCCCUCAAAUGUUUCUUAGGUUCCAUUUUUGGUUCCUCUUCAAUGCAGAAUAUAAUCAGCCGUUCAUCCAUUGAAUCCAACUGGUAUGCAGAGCAAAGAUAUAAGAGAAACCUUUGAUCUCAAGCAAUGCUAUAAAGACAUUUAUUGUGCAGAUGCCCAACAAUCUUAUCUGGGCUAUUGAAUUCAGUUUGUUUUUAUCUUUCCAGAUUUAGUCAGACAGCGAUAUGUAUGCAUAUCCAUCCACUGUAGCACUAGUGAAUACACUGUACAAACCUAUAAUCCACAUUCCCCUCCAGAGUUUAAAGAAGCAGAAACGAUUAAACCAAUUGCCCUCCGUUUCUCUGAUGUGACGUCAGCAGGAUCUAUAAACUCAUUCGGAAACAUUGACUUUCUGUAAGGGAGGUGUGUAACUCAAUUUGUAUUGCCUCUCAGCUUACAGACUCAUAGUGAUAUUGAACAUAGCUGCCAUUACUAGAAACCUGGAGUAGGAUGAAGUUGCCCCUAGACACUGAUCUUGUGUCAGUUUAGCAUUUUCCCCACUAAUGGUUAAGGUAAGGAUUGGGGAAGGGGAUGCUAAUCGUAGAUCACGUGUGGGCAAGCUUUUUGUCUCGAGGGCCACAUCAGGAUUUAGAAAUUCAUUGGAGGGCCGCACAGAUGUUGUUUUUUUAAACAAUUUGUUUGUCAAAAUCCGUUUCAUUAUAAUUUAUAUUUAUAAUGCCCCCCCACCACCACCAUCAAACCUCCUGUGGGCCAUAGUUUUCCCACCCCUGUUCUAGAUCAUUACUAAGGGAAACUUCAUCCCGGAGCGUAGGUCACAGGUUGGGUAAGCUACUUUCUAAAUGUAAUCCAUUAGUUACUAGUUACCUGACGAGUUACUUUUGGAUUACUUUCCCCUUAAAAGGCAUUAGAAGAAGACUUGUGGUCGGACUCGCUCAGGUGGAACAAACUUAAACUCGCCCCUUUUUUUCAAUGCUGAAUUGAAUGAUACCUAUUUGAAUCCUGUUAUGAGUGAAUGUAAUAAAAUGCUGGGCUGUUUUUGUGGAACGUAGCAUGUAGUAUUGAUAAAGACACAACCAAUGUCUUGUGCUAGCGUCAAUGGAAUGAAACAGCACGUUAAUAAUACUAUAAAUGGCCAUUAAUAAUUCUAUACAAUCCCUUCUGCAACGAGAAAGCCGGUAUCAUACAACAACGAUGAUGAUGAGUUUGGGGACGAUGACAGCUUCAUCAAUGAUGAGAGCAAGGACAUAAGUGAAGACUCUGACUAUGAGCCACCUGACUCAGACGACAGUGGCAAGGAGGACCUCAAAAGACUCAAAGAAGCCAAGGCCUUCACAAAUCUGAAAUGAACUAUUGGCCUGAACUUGACUAAUCUCCCCUUGCCUGUUUUAAACUAAGCAUGCUAUUUAAGCAGGGUUGAAGUGCAUUUGGGUAUACCUUUUUUCCUCUUCAAACACACUUGGAAUCCAGCAGGUCUAGAAUCUCAAAUAAUAUUAGUCUCCCUGUGCUGGGAAAAUAGUCGCAAUUUACCCCAUCAGUUGCGAAGAAUCAAUAAUGGGAUUCUUGACUGAUUUUAAAUUGUUUGUGUAUGAUGAUGUCAUAUUGCUGACUUUACCUUUUUUAAAGUAGUUUAAUUUAUGUGUAAUACUUUCUUGGAUAGUAAUUCAUCACUAGCAUUUUUGAGGUGUAGGUAUUCUUGAUUAUUGGUUUGUUUGAUUAGUAUGGACAAGCAGCUAAAAAAAUUAUCGGUGCCUUCAGAAAGUUUUCACACCCCUUGAUUUUUUUCAAUUUUUUUUGUUAUAAAGUGCAAUUAAAUUGUCAUUUUUUUUGGUCAACUAUCUACACAAAAUGUUUUGUAAUUUCAAAGAAAAAUGCCAGGUGUCCUAUUUAUUAAGGAAAGUAAUCAUUAAAUGUUAAACACCUUUGGGUGUGAAUUGUUUUGGGUAAGAGCUUUGCACACCAGUAUUGUGCAAUAUUAGCCCAUGAUUCUUAAAAAAAUUAUUCAAGCUCUGUCAAGUUGGUUGUUGAUCAUUGUUUGUUGGAAAGCAGACUGAACCAGGUUUUCCUCUAGGAUUUUGCCUGUGCUUAGCUCUGUUCUCUUUAUUUUUAUCCUGAAAAGCUCCCUAGUCCUUGUAGACGAUAAGCAUAUCCAAAAUGUGAUGCAGCCACCACCAUGCUUGAAAAUACAAGGAGUGGUACUCUGUGAUGUGUUGAAUUUGCCCCAAACAUAACAAUUUGUAUUCAGGACAAAAGUUUUUUUUCUUUGCCACAUUAUUCACAGUAUUACUUUAAUGUCUUUUUGCAAACAGGAUGCAUGUUUUGUAUUCCAUACAGGCUUCCUCGUCAUUUAGGUUAGUAUUAUCAAGUAACUACACUGUCUUAAUGGCCUCAUGGUGAAAUCCCUGAGUGGUUUCCUUCCUCUCCAGCAACUGACUUAGGAAAGACGCAUGUGUCUCCCUAGUGACUGGGGUAUAUUGAUACAUCAUCCAAAACCUAAUGAAUAACUUCACCAUGCUCAAUAUUCAACAUCUGCUUUUUUUUAUUUUUACUCAUUUACCAAUCAGUGACCUUCUUUGCGAGGAAUUGAGAAACCUCCCUGGUCUUUGUGGUUGAAUCUGUGCUUGAAUUUCACAACUGAGGUACGUUACAGAUGAUUACAUAUGUGAGACGGGCUAGUCAUUCAAAAAUCACGUUAACCGCUAUUAUUGCAGACAGUGAGUCCAUACAGUUUAUGUGAUUUGCUAAGCAAAUAUUUCCUCCUGAACUUAUUUACGCUUGCUAUCACAAAGCGGUUGAAUACUUAUUGACUCAAGCCAUUCCAGCCAUUUUUGUUUUCAUUUGUAAAACAUUCUUAAAAACCCACUUUGACAUUAUGGGGUAUUGUGUGUAGAUCAGUGACACAAAAUGUAGUUCUUUAAUCCAUUUUUAAAUUCAGGCUGUAACACAACAAAAUGUGGAGGAAGUCCAAGGGAUGUGAAUACUUUCUGAAGGCAUUAUAAAUAAUGUAUCAUACCAGUAGUUAUGUGUUUAAUUUACAGUAGUUUGUCAUGAUUUGUAUGCUCGAUGCCAGUAUCAUGUUUUUCUACAGUAAAUAUGCUUUUAUAGAACAAUA